AGUGAAUCAGAGGAGGAGAUCUACUGUAUAACUCAGGACCUAAAAAGUAGAAAGUCUGUGGUGUUCCAUAAACUAAAGAUAUUAGCGUUUUAUUGGAUAUAUGAAUAUUAAAUUACAAUUUAUUGUAAUGUAAAGCUUUCUGUAAGUGGGAUAUGUUGGGUAAGAUCUUAAACUUCACCUGGUCAAGUGUCUUGAGAUUACCUUUGUUGUGAAUUGGAUCUUUAGAAAUAAAACUGAAUUGAAUUUCCCCCUUGCAGUUACCUCCACUAAAAGAGAAUCAGAUCUCUUUAGAAGCCUUCCUGUCCCAUCUCCCCUUGUGGCAAGAGAUGUGGUGUGACAAUGACCAGGGCUUUCACAAACAAUGGAUUCCUCUUUCCAGGGCCUAGAUAACUCCACCUGACACCUGACACCGAGCAUGAGCUCCCACCGGGAGACUCGGAGCUCCUGUGACUGUGAAGUCUGACUGGGCGCUGGAGUGGCCUUGGGCACUGACAGAAGCCAUGGGGAAACAGUUGGGGGAGCCUGAAGGGCUACAGGCCCAUGAGCAUCAGCGGUCUACAAUUUCAAAGGAUCUCUCGGUAGCCAUGGAAACUGGAGAAAACUCUUCAUCAUGAAAAGCUCACAUUUCUUGAUAACAUCUUGACUCAACCAAUCAUCUGAGAUGCACACGAGACAGGAAAGCUGAAGGAAAGGUCAAAAAAAUUGCACAUUACAUUUUUUAAAAUCAGGGGUCUGGUGUUUUGUAUUGAAAUUGCUGAGAUGAAAUAUUAAAAAAGAGUUGCAUUUGUGUUCCCAGCUGCCAUUACCAUACAUUAAUACAAACAUUUAGCUAAGGAUUUCAGUCAACAUUGGGCCUUGUAUUAGAUGGAAAAGUAUUUGUAAUGAUUUAAACUGGCUCUUGUCACAUCUAAAGGAAUGUGUAGUAUGUCCUUAACCUCCUUCACUUUAUGCAAACAAAUUCCUGCCACCUUCGUGGUAAAUAGUAAAAAUUCUUCUAAACUGUAAAUUAUACUUUAGCUUACAGGGCCUGAGUGAAGUUGGUUGGUUCAGUACAUUCCACCACUGGUUUAAAGAGGUUUUUGACAGAGCAGAGCUCAGCAGGAAGCAAUAUCAAAUGUAAUGGAGUAUAACCAAUUAUGACACCAAUUAUUCAGAUGAUUUCAUCAAUAUACUCCACAUAGUGUAAAAACAUUCACAUGCAUGUCUGAAGCCCAGCAAAUCAAAGUGCAAAGUUGACUGUUGUUACAGACUGGUAGUGACAUUUCUCUGGCCCGAGGGGCAACGUGCUCUCCUGAGUUCUGCCCUAUACUGCUUCUGCUGCAGCCCUGCAUAUGAAGAAUGCAUGAAAUGUUCACAAAGCCUAGAUACCUCAAGCCAUGCAUUUCCUUU
rnacentral:lncRNA from 1 species